rnacentral:lncRNA from 1 species
AGAGAAGGUGAACUUACGUUGCCUGCCCUGGGGUCCCAGGCCUCUAACUCUGUGAGAGCGGCCGUGCUGGGGCCCCAGUCCACAGGCGUGGCUCAGAUCCGAGCUCCAUCACUUGUGGGACGGGGUGGGGCUGAAAGCUGGGGCCUGACGUCCUCUUCAGGGCUCAGGCCCAGCUCCCUGGACACGCCUUGCUCGUGGUGGAAGGGCGGAAGGAGGGGAGCUGGCUCUGCCCAGACCUCCUCCGUGGCCUGGCUGGCUCGUGGUGACGCAGGGCCCUUGGGGGAGCCUGCAGGGUGGGCACGAGUCUCUGUCGGAGCCCGCCUCGCUGGCCUGAGCUCUGUCACUCUCUUCCUGCUGCUGCUCGGCCGGGGACUCGGUUUAAGCGAGGGCCGGGCACUGUCUGGCACUGCUCACCAGGGAAGCCCAAGGGCUGUGCUGGAAGUUUCUCUGGAGACUACAGGGGUCCCGACCGCAAGAAGCCUGGAGUGUUUCUUCAUUCUUCAGUCUGUGACUCAGCAGCAAGACAUGAGAGCCAGUGUUUUGCAAGAGUCUCCGUGCAGUGGCGGGUACCCCGGCCCUGGCGCCAGAGCCAGGCGGGCACGGAGCGUCGCCACCCGCCUGCCCGGGGAGGACGCAGCCCCAAGGGGUGGGGCGAGCCGGAGCCAGCCGGUCAAUGCCGGACGCCGGGCCGGGGCCUCGGGCAGCACCGCGACGCAUAGGGCUCCUCUGUUUGUGUGGCUGAGACUCACUGCAGCAAAGGGUCCCUGAGGUGUCCGCCGGACUGUGUCACCCAGCUGUUCCCUAGGGAACUGGGGGGACGUGCCCCGGUGGCUCCUAAGCCACCCUGGUACGCGUCUCUUUCCCUCUUGGCUUGAGCUUCCCACCGUCCACCAGGCUUUCACAGACUUUCACAACGCCCCAGUCUGCCUUGUUCUGCGCCAUGUACAGUGUUUAGCAACUCUUGCUCCAUCCGCCCUGCCCAGAAUCCUGGGGAGCAGGCAGAGCGGGAAUCACCAUCAUCAGUUUGCAAAUGAGGAAGGAGCUCAAAGACUUCUGAGGCUUGGCUGGGCACCCACAGCACGGCCAGGCCUGGCUCUGGGUCCUCUGUCCCCACUGGUUUCCUUUCUCACUGAGUCUCCAGCUCUGCAGAAAGCCAUUGCCCUUGUCCUCUGUGGACCGAGAGCUGACCUUCAGUUUUCCAACUGAGACACUUGGUUUAAACUGUGGACCUGCACGGGUGCACACAUUGGUGCGCACGCACGCACACACACACACA